rnacentral:rRNA from 1 species
GGGGAAUAUUGCACAAUGGGGGAAACCCUGAUGCAGCGACGCCGCGUGGAGGAAGAAGGUCUUCGGAUUGUAAACUCCUGUUGUUGAGGAAGAUAAUGACGGUACUCAACAAGGAAGUGACGGCUAACUACGUGCCAGCAGCCGCGGUAAAACGUAGGUCACAAGCGUUGUCCGGAAUUACUGGGUGUAAAGGGAGCGCAGGCGGGAAGACAAGUUGGAAGUGAAAUCCAUGGGCUCAACCCAUGAACUGCUUUCAAAACUGUUUUUCUUGAGUAGUGCAGAGGUAGGCGGAAUUCCCGGUGUAGCGGUGGAAUGCGUAGAUAUCGGGAGGAACACCAGUGGCGAAGGCGGCCUACUGGGCACCAACUGACGCUGAGGCUCGAAAGUGUGGGUAGCAAACAGGAUUAGAUACCCUGGUAGUCCACACCGUAAACGAUGAUUACUAGGUGUUGGAGGAUUGACCCCUUCAGUGCCGCAGUUAACACAAUAAGUAAUCCACCUGGGGAGUACGACCGCAAGGUUGAAACUCAAAGGAAUUGACGGGGGCCCGCACAAGCAGUGGAGUAUGUGGUUUAAUUCGACGCAACGCGAAGAACCUUACCAAGUCUUGACAUCCCUUGACGAUGCUGGAAACAGCAUUUCUCUUCGGAGCAAGGAGACAGGUGGUGCAUGGUUGUCGUCAGCUCGUGUCGUGAGAUGUUGGGUUAAGUCCCGCAACGAGCGCAACCCUUAUGGUCAGUUACUACGCAAGAGGACUCUGGCCAGACUGCCGUUGACAAAACGGAGGAAGGUGGGGAUGACGUCAAAUCAUCAUGCCCUUUAUGACUUGGGCUACACACGUACUACAAUGGCGUUAAACAAAGAGAAGCAAGACCGCGAGGUGGAGCAAAACUCAGAAACAACGUCCCAGUUCGGACUGCAGGCUGCAACUCGCCUGCACGAAGUCGGAAUUGCUAGUAAUCGUGGAUCAGCAUGCCACGGUGAAUACGUUCCCG